UACUUCUACCCAUUGCACAAACAUAUUCGCCGGAGCUAACAUACCAUGUCAAUUUCUUUUCAUGCCUUUAAAUUUGGAAAUAUGAGACUUUACCUGUUACAUAACGUGCAUGUUUGUCCAGUAUAUUGUUUGGGCUCAGUCGACAAGAAAAUGAUCUUUACGUAAUCGUUGCGAAAAACUGGGGACUUAACUAGUGAGUUCGGUUGAUAUUAUGCAGCUAUAGAUGUAAUAGGUCUUGCUGUUAUUUCGAUCGAGUGAAAUUGAAAAGAUCUGCAUCAACAAUACGUUUAGUAUAUCGGGACGCUUCAAUUUGUUUGGUUUGUCCCUGUUGUCACUGGUACCGUAAAGAUUUGGAACUACAAAAAACUGAAGAACUAUGGGUUGGAAACAUGUGAAAGUCGCUCUUCUUUAUUUGUUUUGUAUAAGUAUUUUUGUAUACAUCUAUAUAUACAUUAAUAGACGUGUUUUUCCCAAUGAAAACAGUCUAAAUGAAAAGGAGAAGAACGAUAUGGCUCUCGAAGCAAAAUUCUUAAGCAUAUACCAACCAACCGAGAAACCCGCAAGCUGAGAUUGAAAUUUUAAACCAUUCUCAGUGAGCAUGUAAAUUGAAAAAAAUAAUACACUACUUUAGGAUCAAUUCUUUGUAGGAAUCAAAUUUCUGUGGCCUUGUAUAGUCACGGAUUUUCUUUAUACUUUACAAUUUGAUAGACUUUGAUGAGUAAAAAAUCCUUUUUUGUUGCUACGUGGUCCCGUUGCCAAGUUAACAGAAAGUCAAGAUGAAAAAGAAGACAUUAUGAUUGUUUAAUUGAGAAUAUAUUGUAAGUAGUAUUGUUUUGCAACUGGGAGUCUAGGUUUCUAAAGUAGAAUAUAUGUUUCAACACAAUUGUCAUUUUAUAAAAGAAAGAAAAUCAUUUAUGGAGAAACCUAUUUUAAAAAUGUUUCUAUGGAACUAUAUAGCAAUUUCAAAAUAUGAUUUCCUCAUUUUAUUUAAAUUAAAAAAAAAAUGAAAAUCUUGAUUUUAUUGGUACACACUAUUAUGAGUAUGCAAUUAAGAAUUAAAAAUGAAACUUGAGAACCGUUGCCGUGGUAUCAAGCUUAAAAAUAAGGUAAAUUCUUACAUUUUGAGGCAUUUCUAUAUAGGUACAAUUGAAGGCAAUUUGAAAAAUAUCUUACAUUUGUUAAUAAAAAUUGCGUGGCUUGGGGCUUUUUAAUCAGACUUCUUAUAAAAUUUUUGGAUACAACUUAAAUUCCAUGAACAUUCUGUGUUCAAUUACAAAGCUUUUUGUGAUAUAUGAUUAAAAUCUAAGCAUAUAAUUACAAGCUCCAACAAAAACAAUUGUUAUUUUUUUCUAAAAGCAGGAAUCACAGCAUAUUAAAGGCAUCUUCAAUAUUUCAGUUUUACUAUUUCAUGACCAUGUUACCAUACCAACGGGUGUAGUUUUUCAUAUUACAAUGUGCAUUUUCCAUGGACAUUGAUAAGCACUUAAAAAAUAAAUAGUUUUCCUUUUCGGCUGAUAAAAAGGCUUAAAAAUAAAGAUUUCAAAAAUUUCUAACGGUUUCCAUUGUAACAUUAAAGAAAGAUUGGAUUUUUCAUCAAAUAUAUUCUGUGGAUUAUAGUAUAGAAUGAUUCAAUGUAGAACAAAAAUUAAGGUUGUAUUAUGUCUCUGAUAGUUUUGAAUAGUUUUGCUAUUUUUAUUUAUUUAGCCUCGGUUACCAUGGCAACGUUUACCCAAAACAUACAGUGUCUUUUGCGUUUCACACCUAGUUGUGUCCAUGUUUGAAAUAUAAAGAAAACUGGUGACUAUACUUUGCCAAACCCUUAUAUGAAUCAUUUAUCCUUGCAUAGAAUUAAUGAUAAUUCUAUUGACGUUAUACACUGUUAUGAACAUUGCAUUUCGACUCAGGAAUGAAUAAUAUUUCCUACACUAGGAGAAUUUUCAACAACAAAAGAAGAUUUAUUUGCUCAAUGAGCAAUGCGUUAUAAAUAUUUCCAUGUAGAGAGAUCUGCAAGAAAGAAACACUGUGAUCAUAAACCGCGGUAGUUUUAAACCUUUUUCAUAAUCCACAGAAAAGUGUUUGUUGUCUUUAAUGAAACUACCAGGAUCUGAUCUGAUCACCAGACCGCUGAUGCAUUGAAUUUUGAAAAUCUGAAAGAAAAAAAAAACACCAAACAAAACCCGGAAGCAUUCAACCGUUACAAUCAGAUAUGAAUAUGAUAAACUAUUCAUGAUAGAAAAGAACUUUCAUGCAUUACGUGGUACAAUUCAGAUAGAGGCUAACAUGUCAAGUGUCCUCAACGCGAGACGUACGUUUUUACAACGUUAUAAUAUAUAUAUAUAUUUCAUUUUCAACUUACUUUGUUGGUUUUUUUUUUUUAAAUAAAUUUAGAAAUUUUACUAUAAAAAAUGAUGCUGCAAAUUAUUGUUUUGUUAUUCAUUCCGUCAGAAUUUCUGUAAUUGAAUAUCUUAUUGUAUUGAAUUGGACACUGAUCAAAGCAAUAUUUUUAAAAAAAAUAUAUAUAUAUUUUUGAUAAUUAUGUCACACAUGCUAGAGUCUGAUAAAAUGUGAUAUAUUUUUUUUUGCAUUCAUGACAACUACUCUCAUUUUAAAAAUCAUUGCCAGAUAAAAUAUAUUGUCGGCAAUUCUUCAAUUCAUUUUAUCAUUUUUGGCAUAAAACAACUUGUAAAUAUUCAUGAUGUAUCGUAGAACGCCAACAGUUAUAUAAUGUUUGAGUGUAUUUAUAUAAAGAUAUGCUUCUGUACAUUUUGUCACUACUCGUUCUGAUUGUAAAUUAGUAUGUGCGGAAGAAUUAAAAUCAACAACUGUGAAUAUUUUGA